rnacentral:rRNA from 1 species
UACGUAGGGGGCAAGCGUUGUCCGGAUUUAUUGGGCGUAAAGAGCGUGUAGGCGGCCUGGAAGGUCAGCUGUGAAAACUCGAGGCUCAACCUCGAGACGUCGGUUGAAACCACCUGGCUAGAGUCCGGAAGAGGAGUGUGGAAUUCCCGGUGCAGCGGUGAAAUGCGCAGAUAUCGGGAAGAACACCCGUGGCGAAGGCGGCACUCUGGGACGGUACUGACGCUGAGACGCGAAAGCGUGGGGAGCGAACAGG